rnacentral:rRNA from 1 species
GAUGAACGCUAGCGGCAGGCCUAAUACAUGCAAGUCGAACGGGAUCUGAGGGUAGCUUGCUACCCGAUUUGAGAGUGGCGCACGGGUGCGUAACGCGUGAGCAACCUACCCAUAUCAGGGGGAUAGCCCGAAGAAAUUCGGAUUAACACCGCAUAAUAAUACGCUAACACAUGUUAAUGUAUUUAAAUAUUUAUAGGAUAUGGAUGGGCUCGCGUGACAUUAGCUAGUUGGUAAGGUAACGGCUUACCAAGGCGACGAUGUCUAGGGGCUCUGAGAAGAGAACCACCCACACGAGUACUGAGACACGGACCAGACUCCUACGGGAGGCAGCAGUAAGGAAUAUUGGUCAAUGGGCGCAAGCCUGAACCAGCCAUGCCGCGUGCAGGAUGACUGCCCUAUGAGUUGUAAACUGCUUUUGGUAGGGAAUAAACCUACUUAUGUAUAAGUAGCUGAAUGUACCUAAAGAAUAAGGAUCGGCUAACUCCGUGCCAGCCGCCGCUGUAA